UACGGGGGGGAGCAAGCGUUGUUCGGAUUUACUGGGCGUAAAGGGCGCGUAGGCGGCCACCGCAAGUCGACUGUGAAAUCUCCGGGCUUAACCCGGAAAGGUCAGCCGAUACUGCGGGGCUAGAGUGCAGAAGGGGCAAUCGGAAUUCUUGGUGUAGCGGUGAAAUGCGUAGAUAUCAAGAGGAACACCUGAGGUGAAGACGGGUUGCUGGGCUGACACUGACGCUGAGGCGCGAAAGCUAGGGUAGCAAACGGG
rnacentral:rRNA from 1 species